rnacentral:rRNA from 1 species
AGUGGAUGGGGAGCAACCUAGUUGUGCGUGUGUAAAGGUAGUGCCAAGAAAAGCGGUGAUCAUGAUGAAAAUCAAUUCCCGGUACCCGAAACCGACACAGGUGGGCAAGUAGAGAAUACUAAGGGGCGCGAGGUAACUCUCUCCAAGGAACUCGGCAAAAUGACCCCGUAACUUAGGGAGAAGGGGUGCCACCGAGAGGUGGUCGCAGUGAAGAGGCCCAGGCGACUGUUUAGCAAAAACAUAGGUCUCUGCAAACUCGAAAGAGGAGGUAUAGGGGCUGACGCCUGCCCAGUGCAAGGUUAAAGAAGUUGGUCAGUCUUAGGAUGAAGCUAGCGACUGAAGCCCCGGUGAACGGCGGCCGUAACUAUAACGGUCCUAAGGUAGCGAAAUUCCUUGUCGGGUAAGUUCCGACCCGCACGAAAGGCGUAACGAUCUGGGCGCUGUCUCGGAGAGAGGCUCGGCGAAAUAGGAUUGUCUGUGAAGAUACGGACUACCUGCAUUUGGACAGAAAGACCCUAUGAAGCUUUACUAUAGCUUGGAAUUGUGUUCGGGCUUCCUGUGCGCAGGAUAGGUGGGAGGCGUAGAAGGUAUUCUUGUGGGGAUACUGGAGCCAACGGUGAGAUACCACUCUCAGGAGGCUAGAAUUCUAACUUAAUUAAGGACAGUUUCAGGUGGGUAGUUUGACUGGGGCGGUCGCCUCCAAAAAGGUAACGGAGGCGUACAAAGGUUCCCUCAGACUGGUUGGAAAUCAGUCGAAGAGUGCAAAGGCAGAAGGGAGCUUGACUGCGAGAAGUACAGUUCGAGCAGGGUGGAAACACGGUCUUAGUGAUCCGACGGUGCUGUGUGGAAGGGCCGUCGCUCAACGGAUAAAAGUUACUCUAGGAUAACAGGCUGAUCUCCCCCAAGAGUUCACAUCGACGGGGAGGUUUGGCACCUCGAUGUCGGCUCAUCGCAACCUGGGGCGGAAGUACGUCCCAAGGGUUGGGCUGUUCGCCCAUUAAAGCGGUACGUGAGCUGGGUUCAGAACGUCGUGAGACAGUUCGGUCCAUAUCCGAUGUAGGCGUGAGAAUAUUGAGAGGAGCCUUCCUUAGUACGAGAGGACCGGGAAGGACGCACCGCUGGUGUACCUGUUAUGAUGCCAAUUGUAAACGCAGGGUAGCCAAGUGCGGAGAGGAUAACCGCUGAAAGCAUCUAAGUGGGAAGCCCACCUCAAGAUGAGUAUUCUGGUGUAAGGUCACGGGAAGACGACCCGUAAAUAGGCACGAGGUGGAAGUGCAGAGAUGUAUGAAGCCGAAGUGUACUAAUAGACCGUCGGCUUGACC